GUGCCAGCAGCCGCGGUAAUACCAGCUCUCCGAGUGGUAGGGACGAUUAUUGGGCUUAAAGCGUCCGUAGCCGGCUUAGCAAGUCUCCUGUUAAAUUCAGCGACCUAAUCGUUGAGCCGCGGGAGAUACUACUAGGCUAGGAGGCGGGAGAGGUCGACGGUACUUCCGGGGUAGGGGUGAAAUCCUAUAAUCCCGGGAGGACCACCAGUGGCGAAGGCUGUCGACUAGAACGCGCUCGACGGUGAGGGACGAAAGCUGGGGGAGCGAACCGGAUUAGAUACCCGGGUAGUCCCAGCCGUAAACGAUGCGGGCUAGGUGUUGGAGUGGCUACGUGCCACUUCAGUGCCGCAGGGAAGCCAUUAAGCCCGCCGCCUGGGGAGUACACUCGCAAGGGUGAAACUUAAAUGAAUUGACGGGG
rnacentral:rRNA from 1 species